GAUGAACGCUGGCGGCGUGCCUAAUACAUGCAAGUCGAGCGAACAGACGAGGAGCUUGCUCCUCUGACGUUAGCGGCGGACGGGUGAGUAACACGUGGAUAACCUACCUAUAAGACUGGGAUAACUUCGGGAAACCGGAGCUAAUACCGGAUAAUAUAUUGAACCGCAUGGUUCAAUAGUGAAAGACGGUUUUGCUGUCACUUAUAGAUGGAUCCGCGCCGCAUUAGCUAGUUGGUAAGGUAACGGCUUACCAAGGCAACGAUGCGUAGCCGACCUGAGAGGGUGAUCGGCCACACUGGAACUGAGACACGGUCCAGACUCCUACGGGAGGCAGCAGUAGGGAAUCUUCCGCAAUGGGCGAAAGCCUGACGGAGCAACGCCGCGUGAGUGAUGAAGGUCUUCGGAUCGUAAAACUCUGUUAUUAGGGAAGAACAAAUGUGUAAGUAACUAUGCACGUCUGGACGGUACCUAUCAGAAAGCCACGGCUAACUACGUG
rnacentral:rRNA from 1 species